UAUUUAAGGUGCUGUUCAUAACCUGCACGCACCGUUACAGUGAGGAGGUGUCCACAGUGCGGGUAAGGCUGGUGCACUACGGGCCUGUGCAGUAGGAAAGAAAGCCUUGUCGGGAACCAUGGGGCCCACGUGGCCGCUUACCGGGUUGCGCUCCCACAGUGCCGAUCGGUGAUGCGUCUGGUGUUACACACCGGUUCCUGUCCGGCAGCUCGAUUCACUCUGUGAACUGCAGCGCCGCUUCGGAACUAGAGCAAAGGGGCUGCGGUUCGAUUCCUGCUCAAGCACUGCCGCUACGGCUGUGAGGGCCACCCGCCAGAACUAGGCCUCCGACUGGGUGUGCAGAAAAACUCGCUCCUCUUCUCAGUUCAGGAAGGAAAUAUAUUGUUUACAGUCUGUGAAAAUAGCAGAACCUGAGAGAGAUUAGAAUUUGCACACUAUGAGGAACUGAAUGUUAAACCUAUUUCACAAUCAUCCUGCAAUGAACAGCCAGGGGAACCAGACCAGGACUGGAUACUGCCAACUACACAAAAAUAGAACAAACAGUGUUUCUGGCAGAGCAUGACUCAACAAAGCAGAGGUACACACUAAAAGCCAUAAUACAGGUGAAUAUUCAUCACUGAGGAUUCUAAAGAAAGGAUGAACACAGAAACAUCCCCACCAGGGGCGUAACUACAGAGGAAGCAGACACUGCGGAUGCAGGGGGGGGGCAGGAGGUAUAGGGGCCCCUUAAGGUCCUAAUUCAUGUACAAUUUCAAUACAUAUUGGGAAAACAGGUCAACCUCUAGACAUUUUGGGGUCCUAAAAAAUAAUUUGCUGUGGAGUCCAUUAAUAUCUAUUUACGCCACUUAUCCCCACACUGAUUUUAUUCAUAGCAAACUCUUUUGUGUCGAAUUGAAGCAAAAUUUCCAUUUUUACAAUUGAAAUUCAGCUCUUCUAGUGCAGAGAACACAAUUUCACUCUAGGCACUAGUGAAGCGGCUCUAGACCCAUUCCAACAAAAAGGAGGGGGGCAACAAGUUUAUGGGAUGUGGUUAUAACCCUCAAAUGGUCCCUUCAGAAUGCAUGCUUUCUAAAGCACUAUAUGCACUAUAAAAAUAAAUUGGUUCAGUUGAAUAAUACAAUUCCUUAGGAUGCUAUUAAACAACUUACAGCAUUCUCCAUCUGGCGAAAGAGGGCUCAAAAGAUUGUGAUAUAUAAUAAACAUAACUCUGUCGAUGAGACCUUAAAUCAUUAAAAAAAUGGUCACAAAUAGAAAAUAGAA